rnacentral:rRNA from 1 species
GACAGAGGGUGCAAACGUUGUUCGGAAUCACUGGGCGUAAAGCGCACGUAGGCGGACUCUUAAGUCGGUGGUGAAAUCCUGGAGCUCAACUCCAGAACUGCCUUCGAUACUGAGAGUCUCGAGUCCGAGAGAGGUGAGUGGAACUGCGAGUGUAGAGGUGAAAUUCGUAGAUAUUCGCAAGAACACCAGUGGCGAAGGCGGCUCACUGGCUCGGUACUGACGCUGAGGUGCGAAAGCGUGGGGAGCAAACAGG